AAACUCCAUGACCACCGGGGCCUGGCUUUUUCUGCUGGAAACGUGAUGUGGGGGGCACACAUAUAGUUUUCGACUGGGGUGGUGCUUAAAGGUGGCAUUGCUGAUAUGCGAGUAGCUGAUUGGGACUCUUUUUGGGCCACAGAUUUCAAGUUGUACCUAUAAAGACAAGAAUGAGGAAUACAAAAGACACUUCACACAUCUACCUGAUUCAGAGAAGCUGAUAGCAGGU
rnacentral:lncRNA from 1 species